ensembl:lncRNA
AAAGGUGUUAAAGAUAAAUAUGCAAUAAGUAAACAGGAAAUGUGUGAGGGUGAGCCGGGUGAAACAAAAUGUUGUAGAUAAUGGAAACUUGUCUAACGGGCAUUAACAGUAACCUUGGCAUGUUAUGUAUAUGCUUGAGGCCAAAAGAGGCGUAAAUCCAGAUAGAAAACUUUGAAGUGUGCUUUUUAGCGGAGAUUUAGGCUGACAUGGGGAUGGUGUGUAUUUUACUUGGGUUGUGUUUAAUAAGACUAAAAGCGUUGCUCACACACAUAAAGAGUAUUGAGAUUAAAUAAAGUUAAUAUAAUGGAUAGAGCCCAGAACAGGAUAAUACAUGAGUAAAAUCAAAUGCAAUGUAUGAUUUCACUUUUAUUGGGAAAAUAAUUAGCCAAGAAAUGUGUAUUGAAUUCUCCACAUACUUUGAAACUGCGCAACUCUGAGUGGGCAAUGUAAUGAAGCAACUGUUACAUAUUUGCAUUAAACUAGCCAAAAUAGACUCACUACCACAUGAUGUUGCCCUGCAGCGGGGGCAGAAAAUCAUUUGCAAACCAGGGAUCUUAUGUUGAUUAUCAUAUUCUUACUUAUGUACACACACACACUCAGAAGAGAAAAAUUUCAAAACAAAACAAAAAACAACUUCGCUUAACCUGUCAAGCACAGGAGUAAAAUAAAAAUCUCUUUGGGCUCGGUUAAAAUUUUUUUUAGUAAAAGUGUAAAAGGCCAAACCUAGGAGGUUGGGCAACCCGGAAAGUCCCUCCAGUAUCAGGAGUUAAUAGUCAGGAAACAUUCUUCACUUUAACGCCUUUUUUCUGAAAAACCACUGACUCAUAGAUGCAGAUAGACAUACAAGUGCACAUACAUCCAGAUGUGCAUUUAGACAUUAAAAGUGUAGAGGCAUGUACACACAGAUUGGCAAACCGGUACAGAGUCUAACUGAAGAGCUUAACAAAGCAGACGUGGCAGUAGGGUUUGUGAUUUUGCCUGAUAUGAUAUUGGGAACCAACUUUGAAUAAUGACAGGAACCUGAGAUGAACACAGUAAGUUAGUAAGGUAUAGCAGAGAAAGGUUGUUUGUUUUCUAUCCCUUACAGGAGAAGAUUUCCACUAGAGAAGGACCCAGAAAAGGAGCAGAGACCACUUAAGCACGAAGUGUUUUCAAGUGGGAGCUGGUGUUUUAUUGCUGGACCACCUAGAGGACAUGAGGUUGUUGUCGGAUUUGCUGAGUCAGGGGGCGGCUAGAGAGGGUCAGAGCGAAGGUAGUGGACCUGGGAAUAGUGUGGUGACGUCUCUGGAAGAGACGUCAAAAGGGGGAAUUGUGGAAUUACAGGGAUUAUUUUAUAUAACCAUCAUCUUUGUCAUUGCAUUAAUUAUCAUUUCAUCCAAGCAUUUAUUGAAGUUGCUGGCAUUAUGUUAUAAUUGAUAUUAUAGGGGUUAUCCUAAUCAAAUAUUAACAUGUUUAUUACAGGUGCAGUUAUAACUACUUUAAAAUGAUUGAGUUAUAUAUAUAUAUAUCAUAACUCAUAUGCUGAGUAUAUUGGUAGAGUAAAAUAGUAGCUGAGCAAAGGCCUGAAUGUAUUCAGCUUCUUGUGGUAUUUGAGUUUGCCUAGUUACAGGUGACGGAAGGAUGUCCAGCCCAUGGUGACCUCAAAGGCCUUAGAUCAUCACCAUAUUCUUAAGAGUAUGCCACAAGGAGGAACCUCUAUGUUGCAGUUAAUUCUUAAAAUACAUGAAUGUUCUGUACAUGCAAAUUAUGUGCUUGUAAACGCAAGAAGGGGCGUUACAAUACCCUGAUGUUAUAAAAGCAAUCUAGAGUGUAAUUUGGGUAGAGAUGUACAACUGUUUUGCAGUUUGCACCUCUCCACGCUGCGUGCAUUCAUUAAAAUCAAUUGUUUGAUUGACCUCUUCUGGACCAUCAUUGUUUUACUCUCAUCCUCAAUUUCGGACUCGUAACAGACACCAAAUAUGUCUGCAGUGCAUCUCCUUACUUGGGAAAGGACCCCAGUCGUCAGAAGGGAGAGAGGCUGGCAGAGAACGUGGUCAUGAAACUGAUGGAGCCGUUUUUGGAUGAUGGAAGAAAUGUCACAACGGACAAUUUCUUUACUUCACUGUCACUGUCGCACAGACUGCUGCAGCGCAAAACAACAUUACUGGGCACGGGGAAUAAAGUCCGGCGUGAACUUCCUCAACUUGCAAAAGAUACUGCAAAGCGAGAGUUCCAUGCACCAAGACGUGACGAUCGGUGACGGCAGAAAGAGGAAACCCAACACGAUCACAGACUACAACCACAUGAAGUGUGGUGUAGACGUGUUGGACCAAAUGGCACGGAUGUAUUCUGUAAGAUCAGCAACACGCAGGUGGCCAGUAGCGGUUUUCUACAAUAUGCUGGACCUGGCGGCAGUGAAUGCCUACAUUUUGUACAAGGCAUGUACAGGGUGGACAGGCAAAAGAAGAUUGUUUCUGCGUCUUCUAGCUCAGCAACUUCGUUGCCGAUUCAUGCAGCACAAGGAAAUCUUAGCACAGAGGCAGGCUGCUGCAGCUGCUGUGCCAGGGACUGUAAAGACAAUGCAGUGCCAGGUGCAAGAGAGCUGCAACAGGAAUCGCAGCAG